AAGACACCCCAAUCUCACCCGUUAAAUUUACGGGGUCAAUGCAAGAGUAAGCUAAUUAGUAAUUUAAUAUACUUAAAGCUCUACAAUCUCCUUGCAUGUUUAGGCAUGAUAGAGAGGAGCUUGCGCUCAUGCUUGAAGAAUGAAGAUAGAAGACCGACGAACAGAUUAAGCUUAACUCUCUUGGCAAUCUCUAUUCUUUGUACCACAAAUCCGUUCACCUUUUACACGGAAGUAAACAAUUCAUGCAGUACAUUACGCGUCCAACCGAACAACAUAUGCAGUAUUUUCCUAGGCUUCGAUGAUUUUAUUAUAUACAUACUUUGAAGGCUUCUUGAACCACAUCAGACAUUUCCACAGCUCAUGUUCCAGAACUCAACUUCGUGCUCAAGAACACUUAGCAACAUAAAUUCUGCCUUUUUGAGUUCUUCAUCAGAUGCCUUUUGCAAGCGUCUAUUCGCAAUGUUCAGCAGAGAUUGGCAGUACUUACCAAAGGCCUCAUUGCCCCAUCUUGCACAAGUCUCCUUCAGUUCUGGUGGGAUUUUGGAGCCUUCUUCAAUGCAGUGGGCAAAGCUCUCUUGAUACACUGCUUCAAUAGCCCAAAAUGCUUAAUAGCCACAGUAUAUUCCACUUCUGGACUCAUUAAACUUUCCAGCAACCUGUUAUGAAACUAUAAACAUGUCACAACUUACAAUACAAACAAAAGUAGCAUUUGAUUUGUCUAAAAUUCCAAA